rnacentral:sRNA from 1 species
CGCCCGUCAAACCACGAAAGUGAGCAACACCCAAAGCCGGUGGCCUAACCCGUAAGGGAGGGAGCCGUCUAAGGUAGGGUUCAUGAUUGGGGUUAAGUCGUAACAAGGUAUCCCUACGGGAACGUGGGGAUGGAUCACCUCCUUUCUAAGGAGAAAGGCUAACUAACACUUAGCAAAAAAGGCUACGUAGUCGUAGCAAACAAUUCUCUAAUUUGUUCAUCAUAUUCAGUUUUGAGAGACUUUAUGUCAAUCAACAAAAGUGGGGCCUGUAGCUCAGUUGGUUAGAGCACACGCUUGAUAAGCGUGGGGUCGAUGGUUCAAGUCCAUUCAGGCCCACCAUAUAAUGGGGCUUUAGCUCAGCUGGGAGAGCGCCUGCCUUGCACGCAGGAGGUCAGCGGUUCGAUCCCGCUAAGCUCCACCAAAUCUUUUAGGGAAACCUAAUUGAGAUCUUUGAAAAGUAGAUAAAUGGUGUCUGAAAAGAAAUAAAGGUUAAGGAAGAAAGGGCACGCAGUGAAUGCCUUGGCACCAAGAGACGAUGAAGGACGGAACUAACACCGAAAUGCCCGGAGAAGCUGUAAGUAAGCGACGAUCCCGGGAUGUCCGAAUGGGGGAACCCACCAUGUGGAAGACAUGGUACUCGAGCAAUCGAGAGUGAAACGCAGGGAACUGAAAUAUCUCACGUACCUGCAGGAAAAGAAAGUAAAAACGAUUCUGUAAGUAGCGACGAGCGAAAGCGGAGGAGCCAGAUACCUAAGGUUACAAAAUUCUAGGAUAGAUGAAUGCUGUGGGAAAAGCAGGCAAAGAGGGUGAGACCCCCGUAGUUGAAAUUCUAGGAUCCAUGGUAUCAGAAAGUAGGGCGGGACACGUGGAAUCCCGUUUGAAGAUAGGAGGACCAUCUCCUAAGGCUAAAUACUACUUGGUGACCGAUAGUGAACCA